AGUUCCGAUAGAGUGUGUUACUAGUAAGUACUUAGGAUGAACUUUUAAAGUUUAUUAGUUUUUCGCUGACUAUUUUAAACAAAAUAUUUUACAAAAAUGAGCACUAAUCCUAAUAUUCAAUGGGCCUUGGAUAUACUUACACCCGAUCCUGAUUAUAAACCUUCUCUUUGGGAAAAAUAUGGAAUGUUAGUUGGAACGCCAAUAGUAUUGGUUGCAGGAGCAUGUUUCCGAAAUUCAUUUCUGAAAAGACCCUUACAUGCAGGUCUUCAGGUACAUAUUGCACUAACAGUAAUAGGUCUUGCAGCAGGAUAUAAAAUGCAUGAGUUUGUUGAUAACCACUCUGCAAAAAGAGAUCAGAUGCUUCGUCAUUAUGUUAUGUUGCAUCCAGAAGAUUUUCCUCCGCCUGAACGUAAAAAGUGGGGUGAAGUGUUUGAACCUUGGUAUCCAAUUCGUUAAAUAAUAUAGUUAUUUAAACUAUAUUGUACUAGAUCAGAUUAUAAUUAUCGUUGUAUAAUCCAGUACCUUUUGCGUCUCCCAACCAGGGGUAUUUAUAAGGACAUUCUCUACAUGUUUCCAAAUACCUGUAAAAUUAUUAUAUUACAUUUGUAGUGAAGUUGGAUUCUGGAGGCUUAAAGUCCAAAGCACAUUUAUUUGGAUUAUUACAAGGUGGUCCAGGAAUAUUUUCUUUUUUCUUACAUGACCAACCUUCAAAAUUAUUUAAAGAUUUAACUGGUUUUGGAUCAGUUAUCCAAGUUAAUGCUUGUGUGGCAGUCACAAAGUAAACAUCUGGUCUGUAAAAAAAAAAGAAUUUUAUUAAGAUAUGGUGAGCUUUAAUUAUUUAUAAAUUGUUAAUUUUUGAAUAUCUAAAUCUCAGAGAAUUUGAAUUUAACAGAAACUCAAGUGUUUUAUAAAAAAUAUGUUGACUAUAAAUUAGCAUGAAAUAUAUAUGACCAAUAAUCAUA